GACGAACGCUGGCGGCGUGCUUAACACAUGCAAGUCGAACGGAAAGGCCUGCUUUCCCUUGUGGAUUGCGGGUACUCGAGUGGCGAACGGGUGAGUAACACGUGAGUGAUCUGCCCCCAACUUGGGUAUAAGCCUGGGAAACUGGGUCUAAUUCCCGAUAGGACUGCAGGGUGGUGCCUGUGGUGGAAAACGAUUUUCUAGUGGUUGGGGAUGAGCUCGCGGCCUAUCAGCUUGUUGGUGGGGUAAUGGCCUACCAAGGCGGCGACGGGUAGCCGGCCUGGGAGGGUGGACGGCCACAUUGGGCCUGGGAUACGGCCCAGACGGCGACGGGAGUCAGCAGUGGGGAAUAUUGCACAAUGGGCGGAAGCCUGAUGCAGCGACGCCGCGUGGGGGAUGACGGCCUGCGGGUUGUAAACUCCUUUCGACCGCGAGGAAGCCACCUGGUUGGAAGGGUGGUGACGGUAGUGGUAGAAGAAGCACCGGCUAACUACGU
rnacentral:rRNA from 1 species